GUUUCCGUUGUGAACCUGCGGAAGGAUCAUUAACAUAUCCAACGUUAAACCUGUGAACUUUCAGCGCUCUUGUAACCAGGCGGAACAGCAAUCCCGGUAAAUCAAUUGGCGGAAAAGUUUUGAUUCGGGACCUCUGUCCAAAAGGUUACACGAGUUGCAGUGGCAUGGUUUCCCUAAGCAGUGCAGAAGGAUCCACUGAGUAAGGAUAACGGAUCAACGGUUGUUAGAGGUCGAUCACAUGUCACAGGGCUAUACGCCCCUUCAUCCCCCUUGCCCUCUUGCCCGCCGGAAACGCCGGGCACAAAAACUGAACAACUGUUAACAAUGGAUAUCUUGGUUCUC
rnacentral:misc_RNA from 1 species